ACACAGCCUUGCUGGGCAGUGGUGGUGCACGCCUUUAAUCCCAGCACUUGGGAGGCAGAGGCAGGUGGAUUUCUGAGUUUGAGGCCAGCCUGGUCUACAGAGUGAGUUCCAAGACAGCCAGGGCUACAUAGAGAAACUCUGUUUCAAAAAACCAAAACAAACAAAACAACCAACCCCCCCAAAACAAACAAGCAAACAAACAAACCACACAGCCUUUAGGUCCUAUAAGAACUUUAAACCCAAGUCCUCUUACCUAUCUAUACUGAGGCAAGGCAUAGUUUUUUUUUUAAACAGGGAAUUCAAAAUUAUACACAUAUUUGAGUGCUUGCUACUAAUGAAUUUCCCCCUCUUUUACCACUUAGCCCAGAGAGAUUGAACCUUAUCUAGGAGGCAGAGGCUAACAACAAAUUUUAUACAAAACUAGACCUAAAAGAAGUCUACAUCUUCACAUUCCAAAGAUGCCUUACCUACCCUUUGACCUAUUGGAAAUGAGGGUUCAGCUAGUAAAGGUGGGAAAGGUGACCAACAGGCUUCGCAUGCGUUUUUGUAUGGUACGUCGCCUAGGUGAGACACUUCUGUGUUGAAAUACUUGCUGUAAGAAUGUAAACCAAAUCACCUGCUGUGGAAGUUUAACCAGCUGCUCACUGCAAUGGGUAUUUCUUCAUGUCCUUGAGCACUGUUCAGUCACUCCUGAUACUCUCUUAGGCACAAGAAACAUUCUAAUUUCCCCUUAUUUGGUCUUUUAACCCUUUUAUCUUUAUAAUUGUGAAGUUUCUCCAAAGUCUUCACAUGAGGGGGUUUGAAACUGAGUACUCCUUUAAUUGUAGUCUAAAGGUUAGGUGCUUCUUACUCCAGUUCUAUACAUCAUAGUAAUUAAGCUGUUUUUGAGAUGGGUCAGGUAGCUGAGACUGCUUUUGAGUUUGCUAUGUAGUUGAGUAUCUCCUGAUCUUCUACUUCUACUCGCAAAUGCUGGCUUUAAAUGCUGUGCUACUAUGCCUGGCUUUUUUAUUUUAUUUUUUUAGGCAGGGUCUCACCCUGUACCUCAAAGUGACUUAGAAGUCUAGAACUUACUAUUUACCUAGGCUAGCCUCAAACGCAUGGGUGAUCCUCUUGCCUUAGUCUCCUGAAUGUUGGAAUUGUAGGAAUAAGUCACCGUGCCCAACCUCAAGAUUACUUUUGAUUUAUAAACUCUUAUGAAUACUUUAAUUUAGUUUGUGGUUUUCUGCUUCUCCCUUUCUGACCACCCACCAUUUAUCUUUCCUUUUUUCCUUGUCAAUACAACAGUUUGCCUUCUUAAUUUUAUUUUUAGAUUUAUAUUAUUUUCCUUCUCUGUGUGUGUGUGCGCGCACGCACAAGCGCACGUGGUCUGUCUAUGUAUUUUUGUCUGUGGUGUUUUUUUUUCUGGAUACUUACAUAAAAUAUACAAAUAGGAGUAAUUAUCAAUAUCACAAAAGGAUUCUUUUAACCCUUUGGGGGCUCUUUUAAAUAAGUGGUUUAUAUGGUAGCCAUAUUUAUUUACUUGUCUGUUUUUGAUGGUCUUACUCUAACCCCCGCUAGCCUCAAACUCAUUAUGUAGCCCAGACUGCUGAGUAUUCUCUGGCUUAGCCUAUUGAGUGCUCCCAUUUACUGGUGUAUGCCAUGAUACUUUGCUCUUCUCCAGCGUUUUCACAUGCUUGUAUGUAGAUUAUAAAUUCCUUUACCUGGCCGGGCAGUGGUGGCACACACCUUUAAUCCCAGCAUUUGGGAGGCAGAGACAGGCAGAUUUCUGAGUUCAAGGCCAGCCUGGUCUACAGAGUUCCAGGACAGCCAGGGCUACAAAGAGAAACCUUGUUUCGAAACAAAACAAAACAAAAAUUCCUUUACCUGGAAAAACUGAAGGUAAAAGGUUAAGAUUGUUAACAGGAACUGUCAGUUAGACAUAGAUAAAAAAAUCCGAAGAGGAAUAGAUAGAGAGAUGGCAUCUCCAGUGCAUCUGAUGCCCUUUUCUGACCUCCAUGGACACCAGGCAUAGAUAGGCAAAGUAUUCACAUGAAAGAAAAGAAAUAAAUCUUUAGGCUGGAGAGAUGGCUCAGUAGUAAGAGCAUGGCUGCUCUUCCAGAGGUCCCUGGUUUAAGUCCAGCAUCCAUUGUCAGCUUACAACCAUCUGUAACCCCAGUCCCAGGGAUCCUCUUCUGGCCUCCAUUGUCACUGCAUUCACAUGGUGCAGUAUACUCACAACAGCAAAUAGAAACACAGUAUAAAUAAAUCUUUAAAAAAAAUGUUAAGGAAACCAUAGCUCUUAACAAAGGAAUACAUUCGUAGAAUUGUAAAAGAUUUUUCUUUCCUUGUGCAUUCUCUAAAACUGGUGUAUCCUAGAGCUCCCUUCCGUCUUCCUCUGACUUCAUGUAUGUGUAGGAACAUUCACACACACAUUGUUUAAAAAAUACAACAUUGUUUUACUACUAUGUAAAUUAGUAUAUCAUGCAAUGUAUUACAUAUUUCUUUUUGCAUUUAUAUGUGGACAUUUACCUCAUUUAGAAAAUGAAAAGAAAAUAAUGGGAUAGCAUUCAAUAGUAUAGUUUUACUACAGUUUAACAAUUCACCUAUUGAUGGAAACUUGCCUCUAAUCAUUCCGUGUUAUAAAUACUGCAUUUAAUCUU
rnacentral:lncRNA from 1 species